rnacentral:rRNA from 1 species
GCCACUGCUAUGGGGGUCCGAUAAGCCUGCGAGUCAUGGGGGUGUCCCUUCUGGGACACCACCGGCGGACGGCUCAGUAACACGUCGGUAACCUACCCUCGGGAGGGGGAUAACCCCGGGAAACUGGGGCUAAUCCCCCAUAGGUGUGGGGUACUGGAAGGUCCCCACACCGAAAGGGGCCUCGUGCCCGCCCGAGGAUGGGCCGGCGGCCGAUUAGGUAGUUGGUGGGGUAACGGCCCACCAAGCCGAAGAUCGGUACGGGCCAUGAGAGUGGGAGCCCGGAGAUGGACACUGAGACACGGGUCCAGGCCCUACGGGGCGCAGCAGGCGCGAAACCUCCGCAAUGCGGGAAACCGCGACGGGGGGACCCCCAGUGCCGUGGCAACGCCACGGCUUUUCCGGAGUGUAAAAAGCUCCGGGAAUAAGGGCUGGGCAAGGCCGGUGGCAGCCGCCGCGGUAAUACCGGCGGCCCGAGUGGUGGCCGCUAUUAUUGGGCCUAAAGCGUCCGUAGCCGGGCCCGUAAGUCCCUGGCGAAAUCCCACGGCUCAACCGUGGGGCUUGCUGGGGAUACUGCGGGCCUUGGGACCGGGAGAGGCGGGGGGUACCCCUGGGGUAGGGGUGAAAUCCUAUAAUCCCAGGGGGACCGCCAGUGGCGAAGGCGCCCCGCUGGAACGGGUCCGACGGUGAGGGACGAAGGCCAGGGGAGCGAACCGGAUUAGAUACCCGGGUAGUCCUGGCUGUAAAGGAUGCGGGCUAGGUGUCGGGCGAGCUCCGAGCUCGCCCGGUGCCGUAGGGAAGCCGUUAAGCCCGCCGCCUGGGGAGUACGGCCGCAAGGCUGAAACUUAAAGGAAUUGGCGGGGGAGCACUACAAGGGGUGGAGCGUGCGGUUUAAUUGGAUUCAACGCCGGGAACCUCACCGGGGGCGACGGCAGGAUGAAGGCCAGGCUGAAGGUCUUGCCGGACACGCCGAGAGGAGGUGCAUGGCCGCCGUCAGCUCGUACCGUGAGGCGUCCACUUAAGUGUGGUAACGAGCGAGACCCGCGCCCCCAGUUGCCAGUCCCUCCCGAUGGGAGGGAGGCACUCUGGGGGGACCGCCGGCGAUAAGCCGGAGGAAGGAGCGGGCGACGGUAGGUCAGUAUGCCCCGAAACCCCCGGGCUACACGCGCGCUACAAUGGGCGGGACAAUGGGAUCCGACCCCGAAAGGGGAAGGGAAUUCCCCUAAACCCGCCCCUCAGUUCGGAUCGCGGGCUGCAACUCGCCCGCGUGAAGCUGGAAUCCCUAGUACCCGCGUGUCAUCAUCGCGCGGCGAAUACGUCCCUUGCUCCUUGCACACACCGCCCGUCACUCCACCCGAGCGGGGUCCGGAUGAGGCCCUGUCGCCGGCUCUGACCGGAUGGCGGGGUCGAGUCCGGGCUCCGUGAGGGGGGAGAAGUCGUAACAAGGUAGCCGUAGGGGAACCUACGGCUCGAUCACCUCCU